rnacentral:rRNA from 1 species
UACGAAGGGGGCUAGCGUUGCUCGGAAUCACUGGGCGUAAAGGGUGCGUAGGCGGGUUCUUAAGUCAGAGGUGAAAUCCUGGAGCUCAACUCCAGAACUGCCUUUGAUACUGAGAGUCUUGAGUUCGGGAGAGGUGAGUGGAACUGCGAGUGUAGAGGUGAAAUUCGUAGAUAUUCGCAAGAACACCAGUGGCGAAGGCGGCUCACUGGCCCGGUACUGACGCUGAGGUGCGAAGGCUAGGGGAGCAAACGGG